rnacentral:lncRNA from 1 species
GCCGAUGAAACCGCCGGCGCCGAUCAUGCAGAUCGUGAUCGGCUUGAUCGGCUUCCCGUCCAGAUCCAAUCUAACGGCUCCGUUGUUCGCCAUUGUUUGUUUGUCGGUGGAGGAUGGAGGAAAGGAAUCAGAGAAACGCGUUGGAUCUGUUGUCACACGCUCUACUAGAAGAUAACAAUGUGAGUGUGAUAUUUAAAGGCAUGUGGAUGAAGAAGUCUACGUGGCAUUAAAAUUAAUUUAAUGUAGACAGAAAAAUGUUUUCGUUAGAGUGUCAUAUUCGCUUUUACUCAAUUAUUAUUAUUUUGUGAAUUUUUUUAAAUAUAAAACUCAAUGAUGGAUGAUUGUUCACGUGAAAUUUAGUUUUGAAUCUAG